UACGAAGGGGGCUAGCGUUGUUCGGAUUUACUGGGCGUAAAGAGCUCGUAGGCGGUUUGUUGCGUCGGCUGUGAAAUCCCGAGGCUCAACCUCGGGUCUGCAGUCGAUACGAGCAAACUAGAGUGUUGCAGGGGAGACUGGAAUUCCUGGUGUAGCGGUGAAAUGCGCAGAUAUCAGGAGGAACACCGGUGGCGAAGGCGGGUCUCUGGGACAACACUGACGUGAGGAGCGAAAGCGUGGGGAGCGAACAGG
rnacentral:rRNA from 1 species